UAAGCAUCGAUGAUGAGUUUAUCCCAUCUUUAUUUUUUGCACUUUGAUUUAUAGUGAAGAUCAAAUUUAUGGGGAAAGAUCUCUUUGAGAUGCUC